rnacentral:rRNA from 1 species
CCCGCUGAACUUAAGCAUAUCAAUAAGCGGAGGAAAAGAAACUAACAAGGAUUCCCCUAGUAACUGCGAGUGAAGCGGGAAAAGCUCAAAUUUAAAAUCUGAGGGUCCCUGUGGCCAUCCGAGUUGUAAUCUAGAGAAGUGCUAUCCGCGCUGGACCGUGUACAAGUCUCCUGGAACGGAGCGUCACAGAGGGUGAGAAUCCCGUCUUUGACACGGACUACCAGGGCUUAUGUGAUGUGCUCUCAAAGAGUCGAGUUGUUUGGGAAUGCAGCUCUAAAUGGGUGGUAAAUUCCAUCUAAAGCUAAAUAUUGGCGAGAGACCGAUAGCGAACAAGUACCGUGAGGGAAAGAUGAAAAGAACUUUGGAAAGAGAGUUAAACAGUACGUGAAAUUGUUGGAAGGGAAACGCUUGAAGUCAGUCGCGUUGUCCAGAAAUCAACCUUGCUUCUGCUUGGUGUACUUCUCGGCUCGACGGGUCAGCAUCAAUUUUGCCCCUCGGAUAAUGGCAAGGGAAAGGUGGCACCUUUGCGGGUGUGUUAUAGUCUCCUGUCGCAUGCGAGGGGUGGGAUUGAGGAACUCAGCGCGCACCUUGGUGUCGGGGCUUCGGCCCACGUCACGCGCUUAGGAUGCUGGCGUAAUGGCUUUAAACGACCCGUCUUGAAACACGG